GACGAACGCUGGCGGCGUGCUUAACACAUGCAGGUCGAACGGAAAGGCCCUGCUUUUGUGGGGUGCUCGAGUGGCGAACGGGUGAGUAACACGUGAGUAACCUGCCCUUGACUUUGGGAUAACUUCAGGAAACUGGGGCUAAUACCGGAUAGGAGCUCCUGCUGCAUGGUGGGGGUUGGAAGUUUCGGCGGUUGGGGAUGGACUCGCGGCUUAUCAGCUUGUUGGUGGGGUAGUGGCUUACCAAGGCUUUGACGGGUAGCCGGCCUGAGAGGGUGACCGGCCACAUUGGGACUGAGAUACGGCCCAGACUCCUACGGGAGGCAGCAGUGGGGAAUAUUGCACAAUGGGCGGAAGCCUGAUGCAGCAACGCCGCGUGCGGGAUGACGGCCUUCGGGCUGUAAACCGCUUUCGCCUGUGACGAAGCGUGAGUGACGGUAAUGGGUAAAGAAGCACCGGCUAACUACGUG
rnacentral:rRNA from 1 species